rnacentral:rRNA from 1 species
UCUGAUUUCGGUUGGAGUGCUGUGGCGAACGGCUGAGUAUGCGAAGGUAACCUACCCUUCAGUGGGGAAUAUCUCCGAGAAAUCGGAGCCAAUACCGCAUAUCGUCAUCACACGCGAGUGUGAUGAUGAAAGCCUUCGGGCGCUGGAGGAUGGGCCUUCGUCCCAUCAGGCAGUUGGCAGGGUAACGGCCUACCAAACCUGAGACGGGUAGCUGGUCUGAGAGGAUGGUCAGCCAGAUGGGGACUGAGAUACGGCCCCAACUCCUACGGGAGGCAGCAGCAAGGGAUAUUGCGCAAUGGACGAAAGUCUGACGCAGCGACGCCGCGUGAGGGAUGAAGGCCUUCGGGUCGUAAACCUCUUUUAUUGGUGAAGAGUAAGGACGGUUAACCAAUGAAUAAGCCUCGGCUAACUACGUGCCAGCAGCCGCGGUAAUACGUAGGAGGCGAGCGUUAUCCAGAUUUACUGGGCGUAAAGCGCGUGUAGGCGGCUUUUUAAGUUUGGCAGUGAAAGGUCCGGGUCACUGGGAUUUGCCUGUCAAUACUGGGGAGCUUGAGGGCACCAGAGG